rnacentral:rRNA from 1 species
AACGUGCCCAGUCGUGGGGGAUAACGUAGCGAAAGCUACGCUAAUACCGCAUACGAUCUACGGAUGAAAGCGGGGGACUCGCAAGGGCCUCGCGCGAUUGGAGCGGCCGAUAUCAGAUUAGGUUGUUGGUGAGGUAAAAGCUCACCAAGCCUGCGAUCUGUAGCUGGUCUGAGAGGACGACCAGCCACACUGGAACUGAGACACGGUCCAGACUCCUACGGGAGGCAGCAGUGGGGAAUUUUGGACAAUGGACGAAAGUCUGAUCCAGCAAUGCCGCGUGCAG